AUCGCUUCUCGGCCUUUUGGCUAAGAUCAAGUGUAGUGGAAAAAAAGAGAAAAAGUUCUUUUUUCAAAGAAGGAAAUCUU
rnacentral:snRNA from 1 species